rnacentral:lncRNA from 1 species
AUUGAUUCCAAUUGCUAUUUCGGUUCUAAAGAGAUUUUUUUUUUUUUUUAUCAUAUUGCUAAGCAAGCUAAAUAUUGUUGGAGAAUUUUCAGCGGGAGCCAUAUGCUAGUCCAUGCAUGCUUAGGCCUAAUCCAGGCCAACUUUCGGCCGGAUUUAAUGCCAGAUCUCAACUUUCGCCUCAUCAUAAGGUGGUGCACAAAGGAUAAGGUUGGCAAGUGGAGACCACCAAACUAUACUAAGAAAAGAUAAGGUUUAAAAUAUCUCCUUUCUCUCGCCAU